ACGAAAGGCGUAACGAUUUGGGCACUGUCUCAACAACAGACUCGGUGAAAUUGUAAUUCCGGUGAAGAUGCCGGAUACCUGCGACAGGACGGAAAGACCCCAUGGAGCUUUACUGUAGCUUGACAUUGGGUCUUGGUACUACAUGUACAGGAUAGGUGGGAGGCUUUGAAACCAGGACGCCAGUUUUGGCGGAGCCAUCCUUGGGAUACCACCCUUGUAGUACUGGGACUCUAACCAUAGGCCAUGAAUCUGGUCUUGGGACACUGUCAGGUGGGCAGUUUGACUGGGGCGGUCGCCUCCCAAAAGGUAACGGAGGCGCUCAAAGGUUCUCUCAGUACGGUCGGAAAUCGUACGUAGAGUGUAAAGGCAAAAGAGAGCUUGAUUGCAAGACAUACAGGUCGAGCAAGGAUGAAAAUCGGACUUAGUGAUCCGGUGGUUCUGCGUGGAAGGGCCAUCGCUCAACGGAUAAAAGCUACCCUGGGGAUAACAGGCUUAUCUCCCCCAAGAGUCCACAUCGACGGGGAGGUUUGGCACCUCGAUGUCGGCUCAUCACAUCCUGGGGCUGUAGUAGGUCCCAAGGGUUGGGCUGUUCGCCCAUUAAAGUGGUACGCG
rnacentral:rRNA from 1 species